ACAAAGGCUCUUUUAAGAGCCACCCACCUUUUCAAUUUAAAGGGCU
rfam:Phalacrocorax carbo contig77004, whole genome shotgun sequence.